AGAUGUUAGGAACCAAGAGGCCGAAUAUGUCGAAGAAGUCUAUGAACCAAAUAUAGAAGACUAUGAAGAAGACUUUGAAGACGAACCUACAGAAUUAGACUUUGUCCAAAAUGAUUCCCAAAGGGAGACUAUUGAUCUAAGUACAACCAAGCCACUUCACAUCACUACUGUGGAAGAGGUAGUGACAGAUAUUGAGAGCCAGACACCUGAAUUGGCACUUGUAGCUAAAGAUACCCGUGUG
rnacentral:lncRNA from 1 species